CCUACGGGAGGCAGCAGUGAGGAAUAUUGGUCAAUGGACGAGAGUCUGAACCAGCCAAGUAGCGUGAAGGAUGACUGCCCUAUGGGUUGUAAACUUCUUUUAUAUGGGAAUAAAAUGUUCCACGUGUGGGAUUUUGUAUGUACCAUAUGAAUAAGGAUCGGCUAACUCCGUGCCAGCAGCCGCGGUAAUACGGAGGAUCUGAGCGUUAUCCGGAUUGAUUGGGUUUAAAGGGAGCGUAGGUGGAUUGUUAAGUCAGUUGUGAAAGUUUGCGGCUCAAACGUAAAAUUGCAGUUGAAACUGGCAGUCUUGAGUACAGUAGAGGUGGGCGGAAUUCGUGGUGUAGCGGUGAAAUGCUUAGAUAUCACGAAGAACUCUGAUUGCGAAGGCAGCUCACUGGACUGCAACUGACACUGAGGCUCGAAAGUGUGGGUAUCAAACAGGAUUAGAUACCCGUGUAGUC
rnacentral:rRNA from 1 species